GGGUGGUAAUGCCGGAUGCUCCAGUUGAUCGCAUGGUCUUCUGGGAAASSUUUCGCGGUACGGGAUGGGAUCGCGUCCUAUCAGCUUGACGGCGGGGUAACGGCCCACCGUGGCUUCGACGGGUAGCCGGCCUGAGAGGGCGACCGGCCACAUUGGGACUGAGAUGCGGCCCAGACUCCUACGGGAGGCAGCAGUGGGGAAUAUUGCACAAUGGGCGCMAGCCUGAUGCAGCGACGCCGCGUGAGGGAUGGAGGCCUUCGGGUUGUAAACCUCUUUUAUCGGGGAGCAAGCGAGAGUGAGUUUACCCGUUGAAUAAGCACCGGCUAACUACGUGCCAGCAGCCGCGGUAAUACGUAGGGUGCAAGCGUUAUCCGGAAUUAUUGGGCGUAAAGGGCUCGUAGGCGGUUCGUCGCGUCCGGUGUGAAAGUCCAUCGCUUAACGGUGGAUCCGCGCCGGGUACGGGCGGGCUUGAGUGCGGUAGGGGAGACUGGAAUUCCCGGUGUAACGGUGGAAU
rnacentral:rRNA from 1 species